CCCUUAGAUGUUCUGGGCCGCACGCGCGCUACACUGAUUCAUGCAACAAGUUUUGUCCUUGGCUGAUAGGCCUGGGUAAUCUUUGAACGUGAAUCGUGAUGGGGAUAGAUGAUUGCAAUUAUUCAUCUUCAACGAGGAAUUCCUAGUAAACGCAAGUCAUCAGCUUGCAUUGAUUGCGUCCCUGCCCUUUGUACACACCGCCCGUCGCACCUACCGAUUGAAUGGUCCGGUGAAAUCUUCGGAUCUGAGAGAUGUCUGAUUAAUUUCGGACGCCUUUUGGAAAAGUUGCUUAAACCUUACCAUUUAGAGGAAGGUGAAGUCGUAACA
rnacentral:rRNA from 1 species